GACGUAGGGGGCAAGCGUUGUCCGGAAUUAUUGGGCGUAAAGAGCGUGUAGGCGGCCAUACAGGUCAGCUGUGAAAACUCGAGGCUCAACCUCGAGACGUCGGUUGAAACCGUAUGGCUAGAGUCCGGAAGAGGAGAGUGGAAUUCCCGGUGUAGCGGUGAAAUGCGCAGAUAUCGGGAAGAACACCCGUGGCGAAGGCGGCUCUCUGGGACGGUACUGACGCUGAGACGCGAAAGCGUGGGGAGCGAACAGG
rnacentral:rRNA from 1 species